UACGUAGGGUGCAAGCGUUAAUCGGAAUUACUGGGCGUAAAGGGCGCGUAGGCGGCAAUUCAAGUCAGUUGUGAAAUCUCCGAGCUUAACUCGGAACGGUCAACUGAUACUGCUUUGCUAGAGUACAGAAGGGGCAAUCGGAAUUCUUGGUGUAGCGGUGAAAUGCGUAGAUAUCAAGAGGAACACCUGAGGUGAAGACGGGUUGCUGGGCUGAUACUGACGCUGAGGCGCGAAAGCUAGGGUAGCAAACGGG
rnacentral:rRNA from 1 species